rnacentral:rRNA from 1 species
AUUGAACGCUGGCGGUAUGCUUAACACAUGCAAGUCGAACGGCAGCAUGAUAGAGAUUUCGGUCUUUAUUGAUGGCGAGUGGCGGACGGGUGAGUAAUAGGUAGGAAUCUAACCUAGAGAGUGGGAUAACACGCGGAAACGCGUGCUAAUACCGCAUGAUAUCGAGAGAUCAAAGGCUGGGGACCCUUCGGGGCCUGGCGCUUUAGGAAGAGCCUACAUCGGAUUAGCUAGUUGGUGGGGUAAAGGCCUACCAAGGCGACGAUCCGUAGCUGGUCUGAGAGGAUGACCAGCCACACUGGGACUGAGACACGGCCCAGACUCCUACGGGAGGCAGCAGUGGGGAAUCUUGGACAAUGGGGGCAACCCUGAUCCAGCGAUACCGCGUGUGUGAAGAAGGCCUUCGGGUUGUAAAGCACUUUAGGUAGGGAAGAAAUGUAGGAUGUGAAUAGCAUUUUAUUUUGACGGUACCUACAGAAUAAGCACCGGCUAACUCUGUGCCAGCCGCCGCCGUAA